AUUUUCUGACUAUUUCCUAGAUACUUUGAGAUUAAAGCUUGAAAUUUUUACAGGGUCACGAGGAAAUAAAGCUUAAUAACAUAUACAAUUUUCAUGUUACUAGCUUAAUCAGAAGGAAGGUUAUGGAGGUGGUAAAUAUAGGGCUUAAGUUGGUUUGUAAAUAUACACUUGUGCACUGUGGAAACUUGGUCCAGCACACUGCUGUGCACCUUGAUAUUAUAUUAGACAUUUGUAUGAAGACCUAUAUUAUUAUAACAUUUAAAUUUUGUAAUUUUUCAAAAAUGUUUGAAAUCAAUAGCUUUUGUUUAUUCAAACUGGAACUUAAUGCUCAAAUGAUUGUUUUGUAAUAUCACUGGAGAACAUUGUAAAUAUUCCAAUAAAUAAAGUAUUUAUUAUGUUACUGUUAAUUACUGUAAGAGUGCUGCUGUUAUUAUUUAUCUGGGAUUUAAAGAUGAAAAUGAAUAAGUAAUAUUUAUCUGAUUCAUUUGAGUUGGC
rnacentral:lncRNA from 1 species